rnacentral:lncRNA from 1 species
UUGACGUGAACACCUCCGACUGGCCAGCAGUCAGGACCGGCAGGGGGGGAUUUCGGGAGCCCCAGAAUCCCGGCUCCCUUUUCUAGUCCCUAGAAACUCUCAGGAAUGAUCUUCAGCCUGGGAAGAGGAGGGUACAGAAAUCCAAGAUAAGGAUGGAGCUAGCAGGAAGGAGCUCUGGAUGCUCGCAACCCAACCCAACCCAACCCAACAAACCGAGAUUAAGCAAUGGAUCAAACAGCAAACAUUUAAAAAGUGAUUAGCAUUUGCCAGGAGCAAUUUGCUAAGAACUUGAGGGCUCCAAGAGAAGGUUUUAGUCUCUGCUUCCUGAAAAUUUGAAUUCUAAUGGAAAGACAAGCCCUUUGGAAGGUGGAUAGCAGAACCUACAGGAAUGGAUAGGUGAUGACCUUUUAGAGGAAGACUCAGGCAAAUUAUGGAAGGCCACCUGCACAAGCACUGGGAGUAGAGACAAAAAUGAAACUAUUUCUGCCAUUCAAGAGCUUGCGUUCCAUCAAAGGACUCGGUACAUGUUUGUGGAAAAUGAAUUGAUGAUGAUGAAAAGUGCGCUGAAAGAUGCGGAUUGUGAUCAAGAAGUGAAAGAAAGCAGUGAAAGAAGUGAGUGAGCUCUGAGGAAUCAGGGGUGGGGGUGGACAGGGGCCAGCGUUUCCUCUACACCUCGGUUCUGUUUGAAUGCACGGCCAAGCACACCCUCGGCCAGCAGUAACGCAAGGAAGAAUACACAGCCUCUAUUUGUCUAACAACCAGAGAAGGUAAACAGAGCCAGC